UACUACAGGAUGUGCUCCAACCAAACAAGGGAGAAAACCAGGACACAGGAACACAGGAAACUGAGGAUCCAACAGAGGAGAGAGGCAAAGAGAGUCCCCAGGAUGUUGGCAGUGGCUGUGUGUGUGGGCUAGAGGCCAAGGCCAGCCAGCCCAGAUUGGAGCAUGAGGACAGGGGAGAUACACAAGGAUGCAAGGAUGUACAAACAGGAUAAGAAACAUACCUGUGUUGGAGAGAUUGAAUAUGAUAUCAUGAUAUUCUAUAUCAUGACAUAUAAUAUAUAAAACUGAAAAAUCAAGAAGUAGAAUCAGCAUGAGAUUUCAGUACAAAGGCAGAUUCUUGACCACUGCGCCACCAGGGGAGUGCAGGAGACCAACUCUGAAGACCCAUGGAUCUAGUGGAACCAGUCUACCUGUGUCUCCCUGGACUGACACCCCUAGACCGACCCAGGCAGGGGAGCGGCGGGCGGGUGAUGAGGACCGGGCUGGCAGAGGAAACACAGCGCCCCACUGGACGAGGAGACAAGCCUGGGACCGAGUCCUGCUGCCGCAUCCCACCCCUGGACAGAGGCCCCGCCCCCAGCUGUUCCUUAGCCCUGGAGCAAAGAGCAUCCACAGGCCCAGCAGGUUCCCAGAAGCCUGAAAUCUCUAUCUCUUCCUGUUCCUGCCUCUCCGGUGAACUGUCUCCGACGUGUUCUCCCCGAGUGCCGUGCCGGGGGAGCAGCAGGCAGUGGAGAGGAGAGCUGC